rnacentral:rRNA from 1 species
AGAGUUUGAUCCUGGCUCAGAUUGAACGCUGGCGGCAUGCCUUACACAUGCAAGUCGAACGCGAAAGGGGGGCAACUCCUGAGUAGAGUGGCGAACGGAUGAGUAACACAUCGGAACGUGCCUGGUAGUGGGGGAUAACCUCUCGAAAGAGAGGCUAAUACCGCAUGAGACCUGAGGGUGAAAGCGGGGGACCGGCGACGGCCUCGCGCUACUGGAGCGGCCGAUGUCCGAUUAGCUAGUUGGUGGGGUAACGGCCCACCAAGGCUGCGAUCGGUAGCUGGUCUGAGAGGACGACCAGCCACACUGGAACUGAGACACGGUCCAGACUCCUACGGGAGGCAGCAGUGGGGAAUUUUGGACAAUGGGGGCAACCCUGAUCCAGCCAUGCCGCGUGGGUGAAGAAGGCCUUCGGGUUGUAAAGCCCUUUCGGCGGGGACGAAAUCGGUCGGGUGAAUAGCCUUGCUGGAUGACGGCACCCGCAGAAGAAGCACCGGCUAACUACGUGCCAGCAGCCGCGGUAAUACGUAGGGUGCAGGCGUUAAUCGGAAUUACUGGGCGUAAAGCGUGCGCAGGCGGUCUCUUAAGACAGGUGUGAAAUCCCCGGGCUUACCUGGGAACUGCGCUUGUUACUGGGAGGCUGGAGUGUGGCAAGGGGGGUGGAAUUCCACGUGUACAUGAAAAUGCGUAAAGAUGUGGAGGAACACCGAUGCAAGCAGCCCCCUGGGCUAACACUGACCUCAUGCACAAACUGUUGGGGACAACAGGAUUAAAUACCCCUGGUAGUCCACGCCCUAAACUUAUGUCAACUGGUUGUCGGGGAAGCCAAUUCCUUGGUAACGAAGCUAACGCGUGAAGUUGACCGCCUGGGGAGUACGGCCGCAAGGUUAAAACUCAAAGGAAUUGACGGGGACCCGCACAAGCGGUGGAUUAUGUGGAUUAAUUCGAUGCAACGCGAAAAACCUUACCUACCCUUGACAUGUGAGGAACCUCUCAGAGAUGGGAGGGUGCCCGAAAGGGAGCCUCAACACAGGUGCUGCAUGGCUGUCGUCAGCUCGUGUCGUGAGAUGUUGGGUUAAGUCCCGCAACGAGCGCAACCCUUGCCAUUAGUUGCUACGUUUCGGACGAGCACUCUAAUGGGACUGCCGGUGACAAACCGGAGGAAGGCGGGGAUGACGUCAAGUCCUCAUGGCCCUUAUGGGUAGGGCUUCACACGUAAUACAAUGGCCGGUACAGAGGGCAGCCAACCCGCGAGGGGGAGCUAAUCCCAGAAAGCCGGUCGUAGUCCGGAUUGCAGUCUGCAACUCGACUGCAUGAAGCCGGAAUCGCUAGUAAUCGCGGAUCAGCAUGCCGCGGUGAAUACGUUCCCGGGUCUUGUACACACCGCCCGUCACACCAUGGGAGUGGGUUUCACCAGAAGUAGUUAGCCUAACCGCAAGGAGGGCGACUACCACGGUGAGAUUCAUGACUGGGGUGAAGUCGUAACAAGGUAGCCGUAUCGGAAGGUGCGGCUGGAUCACCUCCU